AAAAAUAAAAAUUUAAAAUUUAAACUAACUAUAAAGUUGAUGUAUGACUAUAAUAAACUUAUUUAAGUUGAGGGAUAGUGAAUGAAACUUAACCAUAAGUUAACCUGAAAACUUGCAAUAGCAGGUCACAAAAAUUUUAGUGAUACCCAAAUUUAAGUUCAAGGAUUUUUAUAAUACAAAUUGAAAUUAAGGGACAAUGCUGAUACAAUUACCUAAAUUGAG
rnacentral:misc_RNA from 1 species